rnacentral:rRNA from 1 species
UAAGGAAUAUUGCUCAAUGGGAGAAAUCCUGAAGCAGCAACGCCGCGUGGAGGAUGAAGGGUCUAUGACUUGUAAACUCCUGUAAAGAAGGAAAAAAUUCCCAUUAGAUGGGAGAUGAUGGUACUUCUGGAGUAAGCCCCGGCUAACUACGUGCCAGCAGCCGCGGCAAUACGUAGGGGGCAAGCGUUGUCCGGAUUUACUGGGUGUAAAGGGUGCUCAGGCGGAUUUGUAAGUCAGAGGUGAAAUCUUACAGCUUAACUGUGAAACUGCCUUUGAUACUGCAAGCCUAGAGUAUGGAAGAGAGUGAUGGAAUAUCUGGUGUAGCAGUGAAAUGCGUAGAUAUCAGAUAGAACACCAAUGGCGAAGGCAGUCACUUGGUCCAUUACUGACGCUAAAGCACGAAGGCGUGGGUAGCAAACA